rnacentral:tRNA from 1 species
CAGGGAGACAACAAAAUGUUUAAUAUUAUUAUUUUGUCACCUUAGGUCGAUCGGUAUCUCACGUUCUUAAUUUAUUAAGAAUUUCAUUUCCUAAGUUUUUCUAGGUCACACCCAUUAUUUUUCCUGGGCCAUUAGCUCAGGUGGUUAGAGCGCACCCCUGAUAAGGGUGAGGUCCCUGGUUCAAGUCCAGGAUGGCCCAUAUCUCUAUGUUGGGGGUAUAGCUCAGUUGGUAGAGCGCCUGCUUUGCAAGCAGGAUGUCAGCGGUUCGAGUCCGCUUACCUCCACUGAUUACCACCUCUUCCAUAACCGGUAGAAAGGAAAUGUUUUGAGCUGUGAUCAUUAUUCUGAACGAAUCUAGCUUCCUAAUGAAAUCAUUAAGAUGCUGGACUCAUUGAAUUAAUUUCAUUGUUUUCAGAGAACCUUGACAACUGCAUAGAUUAUUUUUAAAGACAAUAAGCAUCUUUAAUGAUGCAGAUUUAUUAUUUGUGCGAAUGCAUUAAUAACAAUUCUAUUAAGCUGAUGCUUCAAUUUUUGAAGUUAUU